UGGGGAAUAUUGGACAAUGGGCGAAAGCCUGAUCCAGCCAUGCCGCGUGUGUGAAGAAGGUCUUCGGAUUGUAAAGCACUUUAAGUUGGGAGGAAGGGCAGUAAGCGAAUACCUUGCUGUUUUGACGUUACCGACAGAAUAAGCACCGGCUAACUCUGUGCCAGCAGCCGCGGUAAUACAGAGGGUGCAAGCGUUAAUCGGAAUUACUGGGCGUAAAGCGCGCGUAGGUGGUUCGUUAAGUUGAAUGUGAAAGCCCCGGGCUCAACCUGGGAACGGCAUCCAAAACUGGCUAGCUAGAGUAGGGCAGAGGGUGGUGGAAUUUCCUGUGUAGCGGUGAAAUGCGUAGAUAUAGGAAGGAACACCAGUGGCGAAGGCGACCACCUGGGCUCAUACUGACACUGAGGUGCGAAAGCGUGGGGAGCAAACAGG
rnacentral:rRNA from 1 species